CCUACGGGAGACAGCAGUGAGGAAUAUUGGUCAAUGGGCGGGAGCCUGAACCAGCCAAGUCGCGUGAAGGAAGAAGGUACUGAGGAUUGUAAACUUCUUUUGUCGGGGAACAAAGGCGGAGACGCGUCGCCGGAUGAGGGGACCCGAAGAAAAAGCAUCGGCUAACGCCGUGCCAGCAGCCGCGGUAAUACGGGGGAUGCGAGCGUUAUCCGGAUUUAUUGGGUUUAAAGGGGGCGCAGGCGGGAGAGCAAGUCAGCGGUAAAAUUUCGGGGCUCAACCCCUGCCGGCCGUUGAAACUGGGUUUCUAGAGUUGGCGAGAAGUCUGCGGAAUUCGUGUUGUAGCGGU
rnacentral:rRNA from 1 species